rnacentral:rRNA from 1 species
UACAGAGGGGGCAAGCGUUGUUCGGAAUUACUGGGCGUAAAGGGCGCGUAGGCGGCCUUCUAAGUCGAACGUGAAAUCCCCGGGCUUAACCUGGGAACUGCAUUUGUGACUGCAUGGCUGGAGUGCGGCAGAGGGGGAUGGAAUUCCGCGUGUAGCAGUGAAAUGCGUAGAUAUGCGGAGGAACACCGAUGGCGAAGGCAGUCCCCUGGGCCUGCACUGACGCUCAUGCACGAAAGCGUGGGGAGCAAACAGG